AUUGACACAUAUAACCUAUUGGGUUGGCUCAAGUGGUAAAGGCCUUGGGCUUAGAGGUAUGCUCCCUUCAGGUCUAAGACUCAAAUCCCAUUGGGUGCAAAGAAUCUCUAGGAGCCAUCGGACUGAGGGAUUUUUUCUUUGAAUUACCAGAGGUGUAUUUGCGGAAAACUCCUUAUCAAGGGCUUGUG